rnacentral:rRNA from 1 species
UCCUACGGGAGGCAGCAGUGGGGAAUUUUCCGCAAUGGACGAAAGUCUGACGGAGCGACGCUGCGUGAAGGAUGAAGGCCCGUGGGUUGUAAACUUCUUUUCUCGAAGAAGAAAAAAAUGACGGUAUUCGAGGAAUAAGCAUCGGCUAACUCUGUGCCAGCAGCCGCGGUAAU